UCUAGAACUCGAGAUAUGAGUUGAAAACUAAAUAGUGUAUGGGCUGCAGGAUAGAUUCCGACUUCUUUGUUGUUGCUAAGAUUUGAACUUGAAAAUAGCAGAAUUGAGUCUUGGACUCUUAUGAAAGUUUUAGGUCUAUGUCUUAGCUUUCCAUA
rnacentral:pre_miRNA from 1 species